rnacentral:misc_RNA from 1 species
AUACUUUAUACGGAAACUAAGUAACUUUGCUAAGUAAACUCUAUGAUUUCCUUACAUGACAUCAUAUGAAAUCUGAAUUUUCAUUUCUUGAAAAUUUUAUUGAAAGUUAUUUACUAUGAGGUAUGUUAACAACAUAAAAGUCCAAAGAAAAUCUACCAGACCCAAAAAGCCACAGAAAAAGUAUGCACGUAAAACAAUUCGUACAAAAACUUAUAGUCGACAGGUACCAGUAUAUAUACAAAAUCUAGAAGAUAUUAAUGAAAUCUUACGUAUUUAUAGAACUCAGCGCACAACAGUCAAAAGCAAUUGGAAAGUCGUGCCGAAGGAUUCGUGUGAGAUAUAUAGAGAGAGAAAGAGGCGGCAAAUAGUUAACGAAAGACGUAAUCGCAAACAUAAUGGAUUCGAUAAGAGAUGCGAGGAUGUUGUUGAUGAAGAAAGUAAUAAAGUGGAUCAACGAAGGGAAACAAAGAAAAAUCGUAAGAGAAUCAAUAAAAAAGGAAAUAGAAAAAAUCAGAAACACUCUAAACGUAAACACAGACAACGGUGCAGUUCGCCCAUAUCUUCAUAUCACAGUACAUCAAUAACAUCAUGCUCAAGUUAUUCAGAUAUGGACUUGGAUUAAUUUACAGGAAAUAAAAGAUUUUCAUAUACCUACA